CAUUGCUUGGAUCCCUUUAAAUCUUUAAAGGCUGAAGUCUUCCUUGCUUGCUUGUGUUCUUAAAACGAUGAUCUCCUGAUUUCUCUCCUUUUCUCCCCUUUCUGCUUCACACCACAACUAACGGAGGAAUUAAUUCACAGGCAGUCCCCCAGCCAGAUGCAUAUAUGUAUGAAAUACCGAAGAUAGGAUCUCUGUUUGCAAUUCUUCAACUCCCAUGCACGUGGUCUGAGGUUUCAGUAGGGGGAAACAAGCUGUUCCUUACAAGAGCAACAGUGAUGGUGUAGCGUUCUCUGAAAGAAGAUCCUGGCAAUGCAAAGGAGAAAGUUUUGUUUUCAGUAGUGGAGAUAGAUGAAUCAGAGAAGGGAAGGAAAGGAAAGAAGAAUAAAGACAGAGGAGAAUGGCA
rnacentral:lncRNA from 1 species